GGUUAAGUGAAUAAGGGCGUACGGUGAAUGCCUUGGCACUAGGAGCCGAUGAAGGACGGGACGAACACCGAUAUGCUUCGGGGAGCUGUAAGUAAGCUUUGAUCCGGAGAUUUCCGAAUGGGGGAACCUCAUUGUUUUUAUCGACAAUGGUCCACUCAGUGAACACAUAGCUGAGGGGAAGGUAGACGUGGUGAACUGAAACAUCUCAGUAGCCACAGGAAGAGAAAGAAAAAUCGAUUUCCCGAGUAGCGGCGAGCGAAACGGAAAGAGGCCAAACCAGCGUGCUUGCAUGCUGGGGUUGUAGGACUGAUGGACGGGAGUGAAUGAGCUAGUCGAACGCCAUGGAAAGGGCGAUCAGAGAGGGUGACAAUCCCGUAGGCGAAAGCUCAGCCACCUCAUUCAGUAUCCUGAGUACGGCGGUACACGUGAAAUUCCGUCGGAAUCCGCCAGGACCAUCUGGCAAGCCUAAAUACUCCCUAGUGACCGAUAGUGAACCAGUACCGUGAGGGAAAGGUGAAAAGCACCCCGGAAGGGGAGUGAAAGAGUACCUGAAACCGUAUGCCUACAAGCAGUCAGAGCCCGUUAAGGGGUGAUGGCGUACUUUUUGUAGAACGGACCGGCGAGUGACGAUAGCAAGCAAGGUUAAGCUGAAGAAGCGGAGCCACAGCGAAAGCGAGUCUGAAGAGGGCGUUGAGUUUGUUGUCGUCGACCCGAAACCAAGUGAUCUACUCAUGUCCAGGCUGAAGGUGUGGUAAAACACACUGGAGGGCCGAACCCACGUCUGUUGAAAAAGGCGGGGAUGAGGUGUGGGUAGCGGUGAAAUUCCAAUCGAACUUGGAGAUAGCUGGUUCUCUCCGAAAUAGCUUUAGGGCUAGCCUCGGAUGAUGACUAUUGGAGGUAGAGCACUGUUUGAUCGAGGGGUCCAUCCUGGAUUACCGACAUCUGAUAAACUCCGAAUGCCAAAUAGUUUAGUCCGGGAGUCAGACUGCGAGUGAUAAGAUCCGUAGUCGAAAGGGAAAGAGCCCAGACCACCAGCUAAGGUCCCAAAGUUUCAGUUAAGUGGAAAAGGAUGUGGGGUUGCUUAGACAACUAGGAUGUUGGCUUAGAAGCAGCCAUCAUUGAAAGAGUGCGUAAUAGCUCACUAGUCGAGUGACCCUGCGCCGAAAAUGUACCGGGGCUAAACUGAACACCGAAGCUGUGGAUCCGUAGGAUGGUAGGAGAGCGUUCUAUAGGCAGAGAAGCAUGAUCGUGAGGACAUGUGGAGCGUAUAGAAGUGAGAAUGCCGGUAUGAGUAGCGAAAGACGGGUGAGAAUCCCGUCCACCGAAUGACUAAGGUUUCCUGGGGAAGGCUCGUCCUCCCAGGGUUAGUCGGGACCUAAGCCGAGACCGAAAGGGAUAGGCGAUGGACAACAGGUUGAGAUUCCUGUACUUGUUUGAUUUGUUUGAGCGAUGGAAGGACACAGAAGGCUAAGCGGAGCGCGGAGAUGGAAAAACGCGUCCAAGCAAUGAGUGAGAAGGUGAGUGAAAGGCUUGCCUCAGACUUCAUGAGUUGUGACGGGGAGGGAAGUUUAGUACCGAAGCCGCCGACGUCACGCUGUCAAGAAAAGUUUCUAGUGAGAAUCAAACAACCCGUACCGCAAACCGACACAGGUAGUCGAGUGGAGAACACUAAGGUGAGCGAGCGAACUCUCGUUAAGGAACUCGGCAAAAUGACCCCGUAACUUCGGGAGAAGGGGUGCUGACCGCAAGGUCAGCCGCAGUGAAUAGGCCCAAGCGACUGUUUAUCAAAAACAUAGGUCUCUGCCAAAUCGAAAGAUGAUGUAUAGAGGCUGACGCCUGCCCGGUGCUGGAAGGUUAAGAGGAAGGGUUAGCGUAUGCGAAGCUCUGAAUUGAAGCCCCAGUAAACGGCGGCCGUAACUAUAACGGUCCUAAGGUAGCGAAAUUCCUUGUCAGGUAAGUUCUGACCCGCACGAAAGGCGUAACGAUUUGGGCACUGUCUCAACGAGAGGCUCGGUGAAAUUGUAGUACCAGUGAAGAUGCUGGUUACCCGCGACAGGACGGAAAGACCCCAUGGAGCUUUACUGUAGGUUGAUAUUGAAUGUUUGUGCCACAUGUACAGGAUAGGUAGGAGCCAUCGAAGUCGGGACGCUAGUCUCGAUGGAGGCACUGGUGGGAUACUACCCUUGUGGGAUGACCAUUCUAACCCGCGACCAUUAGCUGGUCGGGAGACAGUGUCAGUCAGGCAGUUUGACUGGGGCGGUCGCCUCCUAAAGUGUAACGGAGGCGCCCAAAGGUUCCCUCAGAAUGGUUGGAAAUCAUUCGCAGAGUGUAAAGGCAGAAGGGAGCUUGACUGCGAGACCUACAAGUCGAGCAGGGACGAAAGUCGGGCUUAGUGAUCCGGUGGUUCCGCAUGGAAGGGCCAUCGCUCAACGGAUAAAAGCUACCCUGGGGAUAACAGGCUUAUCUCCCCCAAGAGUUCACAUCGACGGGGAGGUUUGGCACCUCGAUGUCGGCUCAUCGCAUCCUGGGGCUGAAGUCGGUCCCAAGGGUUGGGCUGUUCGCCCAUUAAAGCGGUACGCGAGCUGGGUUCAGAACGUCGUGAGACAGUUCGGUCCCUAUCCGUCGCGGGCGUUGGAAAUUUGAGAGGAGCUGUCCUUAGUACGAGAGGACCGGGAUGGACACACCGCUGGUGUACCAGUUGUUCCACCAGGAGCAUGGCUGGGUAGCUAUGUGUGGACGGGAUAAGCGCUGAAAGCAUCUAAGCGUGAAGCCCCCCUCAAGAUGAGAUUUCCCAUACUUUGAAAGUAGUAAGACCCCUGAAAGACGAUCAGGUUGAUAGGUUUGGAGUGGAAGCUUAGCAAUAAGUGGAGCGGACAAAUACUAAUCGGUCGAGGACUUAUCCAA
rnacentral:rRNA from 1 species